rnacentral:rRNA from 1 species
GACGAACGCUGGCGGCGUGCCUAAUACAUGCAAGUAGGACGCAGUUGCGAACGGGUGAGUAACGCGUAGGUAACUACCUAUUAGAGGGGGAUAACUAUUGGAAACGAUAGCUAAUACCGCAUACUAGUAGAUGGACCUGCGUUGUAUUAGCUAGUAGGUAGGGUAAUGGCCUACCUAGGCAACGAUACAUAGCCGACCUGAGAGGAGGAUCGGCCACACUGGGACUGGGACACGGCCCAGGCGACUGCGGGAAGGAACAGUAGGGGAUCUUCGGCAAUGGGGGGAACCCUGACCGAGCAACGACGCGUGAGUGAAGAAGGUUUUCGGAUCGUAAAACUCUUUUGUUAAGGAAGCGGUACUUAGCCAGAAAGGGACGGCUAACUACGUGCCAGCAGCCGCGGUAAUUC